rnacentral:rRNA from 1 species
UACGUAGGGGGCGAGCGUUGUCCGGAUUUAUUGGGCGUAAAGAGCUCGUAGGCGGUUCGAUAAGUCGGACGUGAAAUCUCCACGCUCAACGUGGAGGGGCCGUUCGAUACUGUCGUGACUCGAGUCCGGUAGGGGAGUGUGGAAUUCCCGGUGUAGCGGUGAAAUGCGCAGAUAUUAGGAAGAACACCAGUGGCGAAGGCGGCUCACUGGCUCGGUACUGACGCUGAGGCGCGAAAGCGUGGGGAGCAAACAGG